GGGUCAGUAGGUUGGUCGUGCCACCGGUACGUACUGGUCUCACUGAUUCCUCCUUCCUGAAGAACCGUAAUGCCAUUAAUUUGGUGUUGCGGGGAGACAGGACUGUUACUUUGAAAAAAUUAGAGUGUUUAAAGCAAGCUAACGCUUGAAUACAUUAGCAUGGAAUAAUGAAAUAGGACAAUCGAUCCUAUUUUGUUGGUUUCUAGGAUUGACGUA
rnacentral:rRNA from 1 species